CUUAAAUAUGAUCUAAAAAUAAAUUAUAUCUAAUACUCUUAAAAAAAAAAAAAAACAAUAAACAAAUGAGCAUAUGCAUUUUAAAUGUUAUGAUAUUUUAACUUUGAGUCUUGGCUUUUGUUUGUAAAAGUGUAAAUAGUGUAAGAAAAAUGCCGUUAACUUAUUGUGUGCUUGGAUGUGCCAAUCGUUAUGGUUGUGAUAAAGUGGUUUUUUCAAACAUGUAUCAGUAGUUUCAACAUGGUCACCUAUACAUACAAUUUUACUACAUUGUAUUUAAAAUACAAAUAUUUACUUAUUACUGAAAAUAUUUUCGAGUUCAUGAAUUAUGAUACAAUUUAUCUUUGGAUAAUCACAACAAUAAAAAUUGAUAAAAUACCAUAGCCCUCAACCAAUAUAGCGGAAAAGCGGCGUCACUCGGCCUGCUUGUGGAUUUUACUAGUGGGCAAUGUUGUUUAUUAUCUAUAUCUGUGAUUGGGCCUUACCCAAUAUCGGCAAUUAUUCAGCUUGUUAAAAUAUCCGUUGAUAUGAAAAUGAGCUAUUUUUGUAAGCCACUUAACCAGUAGUUACUAAGUAAUCGCUCAAUAAAAAAAUUAAAUAUAAACAUAGCAAACAAUAUACAUAUUAUUAUAUUUAUAUAAUAUUUGUUAUAUAUUAUCAAUUUAAGAACGAUGGUGAUGUCAGCAUUAAGUGGACUGAUCUAGUUUCAAAAU